UGUAGCCCCGUGCAUGCAGCGCUCGGGAGUGGCCGGGAGCGUUUCCCAAAAGAGAGGAAAGUAAUAAACGUGGUGCUUGUGUGCGAGGCCUUGAUUUGUAUGUACGUCUGCGUCACUGGGACCGCUCCCUCUUCCCUGGCUGCCCGUUGACUUGUAGUAGCUGUUUGCUGAGGACCCAAAUGGGAAAGUGACGAUGUUGGAUCUUGACUCUGAAAGUAAAGUGACCUAAGUUUGUGGCAGUCGCUACCUUGACUCUGCUUCCAGCUGUGGAUGCUGAGAACUAAAAUGGAAAGACACAACUUCAGGACCUCUUACUUUCUUAGCCUCAAAGUCUUACUAUCAGCUUACUUUUAAGUUAGUAAGAGCGAAGUGAAAUCCUCUGGCUCAGAGAUAUUUUUGUGCUUAAUAUCAAGCAAAAUUUAAAUAAAUAUGGUUGAUAGUGUGUUAUUACAACAUACUAUAAAUCUUUCAUUGAGAAAGCCUUGACGUUGAAAAUUGGUUACAGAACCAACAGUGUAAAAUUUAGUUUGGCCCUUUAGUGGAAAAUAAAUAUUUUGCAUUGAAAGAUGAUAUUCUGACUUUUGAUUCAUACAAGGGCUGCUUUUCCUACUUCAUUAUGUUGGCCCAGGAUGUGGGAGGCAGGUGGUGGUGGUGUGGCAGUAGAGAUUGUAACCUUCCCACCAAUAUUCUGUUACAUUUUGUUGCCAUGCAACAGAUAGCAGCAGAGGGACAGUCUGACGAAAUGGUGCCUGACCUGGAAGUAUGGAUGAAGUAAAGGUAUGUAACUGAAUUCCUCCAUGUGGAAAAAAUGGCACCCACUGACAUCCAUCAAUGCUUGCUCCGUGUUAAUGAAGACCAAACAGUGGGUGUGAGUACAGUGAAAUUGUGGGUGAUGUGUUUCAGCAGUGAUGAUGGUGACAGUGGGUCACCUCUGCUGAUGCAGGUUUUUAUGAGCGCAGCAUGCAGGCCCUUGCCCAUCGCUGGUGAAAAUGCAUAGCUAAUGGUGGGGACUAUGUUGAAGCAGUAUUUUCAUGUCUUUUACUUCACCAUUGCCACUGCUGAAACACUGCUGAAACCUUUACUUCACACACACUUCUAUGUCAUACACCAUUUUGUCAUACUGCUCCUUGGCCAUAUUUCUCACAGCAUCAAAAUGUAGCAGAAUAUUGUUGGGAAGGUUCAGCUUCUGCUGCCAUACCAUGCCAACAUCUGCCUCUGACAUUGUCAUCCAACAUAAUAAAAUAGGAGGCAUUACUUUUGUAGGGACUCUUGUACUUUCUAAUGCUUAUGCAUUUAAAUGUAAGCGGAAGAAUUUCCUGGAAAAAUUUUACUCCUACUUUAAUGCACCUUACCAAUUAAGCAGUCUAACUGGAGACUUUAAAAGCUCUAAUUUUCCAAUUCAAGUUAAUGAUACCCUUUUAUUUUAGGUGUCUGCUGUAUAUUUUGCUUUGGCAGAAAAGCCCUGUAUGUUGUAAACCCCUGUGAUAGCUGAUGAGUGUAGCUAUUAAGACCCUUUUAAGGUAAGCAGUGUAAAUAUGUUUAGAAAACCCAGUGGUUUUCUAAACCUUUUUUCUGGGUGAUCAUGGGGAACAUGCAGGGACUGAGGCAUGGGUUAAAUGAGUUGCCCAUCAGAUGAAGUGAGAGUGUGGGGUUUUUUAGGGAAGGUAAUUGCCUCCCAGACGGUUUAUCCAGCUCCACGAUUCUGUCAGAAAAAAAGGCCAGUGUUCUGUUACAAGACAAAUUGUGCUGGGGUUCAGACUGUGUCCCACUUGCUAAAAGUAGCGUCAAAUGUUGAAGAGGAAGAUCUGCAAGUUUGAAUUGCCAGAGCUAGGAACAGCAAUUGAUGGCAAGUUUGAAUCAGAAUGUAGUAGCACGUGGAAUUCGGGAGCAGAUUUACUCAUAUGAGAUUUGUAUUUGUUAAAUCCAGUCAUAAUUCCUCUCUGCGACAGGGAAUUAAAUUUACAGAUACAACUGCUGUACCAGAGAGAGGUGCACAAAUUACUGUGCUUACAUUUUCCAUUUUAGCCCAAAGCUUUAGCUCAGGUUUUUAUAGAAUACAGAUGCAACACCUUAGAAUUCGGAAAAAAAGUUUUUCAGUUGAAGCCAUUGAAUUUGCUGCUAGUCAGAAACUUAAAAUUUGAAGUAAUAAGAAUUGUUUGAUAUGGCUGAAGAUUAUUCACGUGCCAUCAUCUGAAUGAUCAGUUUGUGAUACCUGGGGUGGAGGGUUCAAAAGAAUGGAGUACUCAUGGCCAUCAUUUAAACAGCUUAGUUGGUAGCGCUUAGAGAUUUUUGUAAAGAGGGUUAUAGGGUUAUAAACUAGAAGGCUUGGAAUUGUGAUUGUACUCUGCUGUUUACUUGCUGUAUAAUCCUGAAAGAGUGAUUUUGCCUUUGCCUCUGUUUUUUCAUCUGUGAAGUGAGAGUACCGGAUCUCAUGCUUCUGAGUAGCUUUUGGUUGUUGACAAUGUCCGCAAAUUGUUACAGAGGUAUUCUAGAAAAAAAAAAAAGUGAGAUUUCAUCGCUUUCUAUAAUCUGGGUGACAUUGUGAAGGUGACUAGAGCUAGAGGAGCUGUAUGUUUAUUUUUGGUUUGUCCAGCUACUCUAAAGUGAGACACCAAAAUUAUGUCAGUCGUUAGCCCCAUUGUUGGUGGGUAAGGGUUUAUGUCUUCCAUUGCAGGCUUCCCAGAUGUCAUGUUACUUAAUAGCUUUUUACAAAGAUUAGGACAUUCAGCUGCUACUGUAGUAGUCCUGGAAUGCUAAAAAUGUAGUCCCGGAAUACUAAAAAUACUCGUUGAUGUAAGUUUCAUAAUUGUAUGAUUUUUCUUUUUUAUUUCAUUCUGUUUUGCACGAUGUUGUAAGGGCAGAUGAUGAAAGGUAGGGCAACGAUGAGGAGAGUGCAGUUAGAAUGUAACGUGGUUUGGGGGAAAAUGAGGCCCAAUACCGUAGGAAGAUGAAUCCUUACACUAGAAAAUGAGUAAGACUCGGGCUCCAAUUACAGUUUCAGCCUCUAGUUUCUUGCUGAUAUUGUGUCUAGGAUAGCCCUUCCAGUAAUUCCUCAUUCUUUAAAUCCCCACAGUAGAGUAGGAGUGUGACAACUGAUGUCUCCUGUGACUGUCUCCAUUGUACAGUUAUGAAAAUAAUUUGUGGUUGUGAGUGACUGAACUUGCUUAAUUCCUCAAAACUGUCCCAGGGAAUGAGACUGUCACAUUCUCGAUAUGGUAACAGGUGGAUAUGUAUUUAGGUCAACUGGAGGAUAAACGCUAGAACUCAUGUAUAUUAAUGACUGUCAGACUUUGUGUGUAUGGGAAUUACUGCAUUGGUUGCUGAAUUCAGAACAAUGGCUCGUCAGUAAUGACAGGUGGGGGAGAAAUCUUUGGGAACUGUAGUACUGGGGGAGCUGUGUCUGCUUGGAUCAAGGAGGUAUGCGCAGAGGUGAGCUGACUGACAGGUGACUUUUUGAGAUUCUGACACCUUCGAAGUCUAUUUCUCAGACUCAGUUAAAACAGUUGCUGUUUUUUGGUUUGGUAUACACCUUGUAGCUUUUCAAAGUAUUUUAUCAUACCAUAUAGAUAAUCGGAAAAAUAAAAAUAAGCACGAGGAAGGGCUAACUUUAAAAGCAGUUGCUAAUGCCUUUGUGACGUAUUAGCAUUUGGAAGCUUUCAUUUGUAGAGAAAUGAAAUAUAUGAUUGAACAGCCUGUAAUAUCUGCGAGUCUGUAACUACACAAAGAAAAUGAAAAGCUGGAAUGACAAUUUUACAAGAAAUAUAAAAAACGAGUGCUCUUAAAUAAGGCAUAAGAAAAUGAGUAGCAGGCUGCUUUCUUGUAUGUAACAAUACAGAUGGACACGGCAGCGUCAUUGGUGGCACUGUUCAGAAUGUGUUUGGUGUAAUGCCAAAGUCUUCCCGAAGUUUCAGUGGAGCUCCAUGCGUCUGAUAUUAGAUAGACUUCGUUACCAAAAGCUUGUUGACAUAUAUCUGCAGCAUCAGCAUAUUCUAAAACUCUGAAUCAGCAAGGCUGGACAUACUUUGUAUGCAAUGAUGAAAACUAUCAAAUUACUUUUAAGGUACAAAAUAAGAAUACAUUUGUCCCAUUCAGUUUAAUAAGGCUGAUCAUCCAUUCAAAUAUUGAUGUUCAUUCCAUCACAGCCCAUCAGAUUAUUCAUUUAGAUCUCAGAAUCUGUACCAGUAGCUUAAAUGUAGUUGAACAUGAUAGUCCUAGAGACUGAAAAUGGGCUGGCUUCCUUCUGACUUGUAAGAACGAUUUACCUCGCUACACCCAUGAGAGACUGUGCCCUCAUCUGUCCAAUCUCCCCUGCUCUCCAGGACAGGAUUUUCCUUCCUGCAGGAGUAGCUGAACUGCACAAGAAGCUGCUAUUGAACUGUCACAGUUUCUGCCCAGUUUAUUUAGGUAUGUGGUGUUCUUUUACUUUUAUACCUCUGGGAGAUAAACUGCAGCGGUUUAGUUAUUGCUCCAUAUCCCACUCGUAGUGGAGGCAGCAAUCUUUAUAAGAGAUUCAUCACAGUGAAGACAUUGAACCUGAUCUAAAAAUUAUGAAAAUGGGUAUGGAGAGAAUAUUGGUACCCAAGAUUAAGCUGUCACUUACUGGAGUUAUCCACCAGCCUCCAGAAAUGGAAAACACAUUUCACUGAGAAGCUUGGGCAUCAGACUUUGAAUUCUGUUGUCUGUAAAGGUGAAUACAGUGUUGAAAUAGAACACUAUUUUUCAAGAAAGCACCUGUUUUUAUGUGCCACAUUGUGCAAGAAGGUAAGGGGAAAAAAGUGAACUUUGUGGAGCUGUUUGAUCUAAAAAUGCACUGGUUCUGUUUAGUGGUUGAAAGUGAGCAAAGAAGCAGGCAGGAAAUAAUACCAGCCUCUCUCUAAGAUUAAAGAUUGGUAACGGACAAUGUCCAAAUGAGGAAAAGGCCAGGAACAAGUAGUCUCAAGUUUUAAAAGGCAAUUUAUCAUGAGGAAAAUAACUUGGGGAAACUUUGUAAAAGCAGUGUCUGCAAUGUAUGAAAUAGGUCACUUUCCUAUGAAGUUCAGGCUUCAGAUAAGAACCACUGUAGUUAGAUUGUGUGUCAAGUAUUUUACUUUUGCUUUGAAUGCUUAUCCUGCUAUUAAACGAUGUGUUGGUUUCAAGAGAGUUGUCUGGUCAUUCAUCCCGAUCUCCAAUCCCAUUGUCAGAAAGAGGGAACUUAUGUGUUUAAGUGAACUACAACCACAGUAAAUACAAAACAGUAAUCCAGGGCUCAGUCUGAAGGCUGAAGAAUUCCAAGAGUCAAAAAAGGCAGAGGUGCAGCCAGUGAAUACAGAGUGGGUAGACAGGCACCCGGUCAUGCAAAUGGGAAUCUGCUCUGAAACACUAUCACUUCUCUGUUAAAAAGGUGAACGGGUUUGCUUUGAUUUGCAGUUACUGAAUUUUCUACCUUCCACUGUGAGAGUCAUUCAUUUUUUCUUCAGAAGAUACAGAGACUAAAUUCAAGUCAACCUUGUGUCUUUUAAAGGUAUUUAGAUUAACCAUCUUAAAUUCCUCACUAUAAAACAUUUUUUUCUAGCCUUUGAAUAAUUAUAUUUCCUGUGCCUUCUGCCCACCCUCCCCCAUUUCUUCUCUUUUUUUUUUUCUUUUUUAAAUAUACCGAUAUGGGACAUCAAUGCAGAAUCAGCCUCAGUAAAGCUGAGCAGUGAGGUUAAAACGCUCCUGAAUUUUGUGCUUGCCAAUCUUCUGCUUCUGUCAUCAGAAGAUCGAGUUAACACUACAACUUUCUGUUAGGAGUUCAUGUUUGUUGUCAGUUUUCUGUGACCAGUAGAGACUUGACACUGCUUCUCAAGCAACUCUCUGUGCUGCACUUACAGCUGUAAUGCCUGCUUGCUACCUGUACUACUUUGCAUUUGAAUGUAACUAAAUAAAAUUUUGAUUACAUUGAGUGUUGAGCAACAUAAAAUUUUCCCUGUGACUUCCUUAUAAUUGCUACUUCUUUGCUGAUUUUAUUACCCCGCAUUUAUCUGUGCUUGAUCUAUAUCACUCCUAGAUCACUGAUAAAAAUGUAGGAUAUCACUUGUCCUUCUACUUCUGAAAGCAAACUCAAAUGUCACGAUGGUUCCCCAUUUGCACUUUUUGACAUCUGUUGCUCGAACAGUAGUUAAUUCAUAUACAUGUUAGAUUUUCUUUGGAGUUUUUAAACAGAGGACAUCUCCUGAGUCAGCUUGAAUUGUUCAGUUUCACUCCUGUGACUUGUUUGCUUGAACAUCCACACCGUGUAGUAACAGACAGCUUCCAGGAUGCUUCUGUAGCUCAGAUGACACCCAGAAACAGUUCAGUGUCUUGGCUGCUCUAACUUACGCAGCCUGGUUCCUCCAGCCCAUCCUGGAUCUCCAAUGAUAUUUCAGUCAGCCUUUGUGUCCCCAUGACUUCAUACCAUGUCCUUACACUCAGCAUACAGCCUCAGUUUGGUCUAUUAUAACACAGACAUGGAGGACUGCCUCAUCACCCAUCUCAUUGUCUUGAUCACAUAGUAAAGAGGUUUUAAGGAACUUAAAAUCUGUGGCAUGCAUGAUGUUCAAAGGGGUCAGGAGGGAAAACAGGCUCAAUUGGCAGCACAGUCAGCUAUCGGGAGCCCAGAAGACAAGGCGAUAAUGGAGAAAUGUCUCUGGCCUCUGGGCAUGUGGCAGAGCCCCUCCAGGCUUUUGAGAUUUGGCUGCAUCCCUUGCUUGAUGCUUGAAAAAUUAAAGAGCAGAAUUAAAAGCAGCCUACAUUAAGGCUCUUAGUGAUGACGUAGUUGGGUGCUAAACGUCAAUUAAAGAAGGGUUGGUCAGAAACCUGUGGUGGCAGGGGCCAAGAUGGGGAUCAUUGGUGUUAAGGGCUGUCAAGUUCAACAUUUGGAGUUUCCUUAAGCAGUAUGUGAUUGCACUGCCUCCAGUUCUUCUAAGAGAUGCUGCCUGUGAGUAGAUUGGUAACAAGCAGCUCCAGGCCAACUAGGUGAGAGAACGGGGACCACUGAAAAAAGUCGUAAAGGCAACUCCACUGCACUGUUGUUCUGGCAGCCACUUAAUAUAAUUAUUUGGGAAGAUCCAUUAAAUUUUUCUUUGAAAAUUAUGUGUCUUUUGCUAGCACCAUUCCUUGAAAGAUAUUGUAGAGCUGCCGUCCCCUUCCUAAUCUUCUAGCUCCACCUCUAAAUUUAUUCAGGACUUGUUUAUAUUUAUGCCAGCAUUAUCUUUUCUGUUAAAUACUAUUGUUCCUGUGGGUUUUACCCUCUUGAUGUUUAUUUCUAGGUAGCAACUGUGUCCUUUCUCAAUAUUUGUUUCCCUUAGCUAAACAAGUUAUUUUAGUCUUUUCUCAUGAAACAGAAUUUCAGCUUCUCUUUUCACCUUAACAGACCUUUUGUGUAACUUCGGAAUUUGUGAGAUAAGGUUUGUAAGGAGAAGUAAUAUAUUUUAUUAGAUCACUGAUAUAGUUAGAAAAAAUAGAAAAGCUUUUGGGUAUACAGGUUAUUCUCACAUAUGCCCAAAGCUUACCAGCUUUUUUUUUCCAACUGUUUCAAUUGUCUAAUAAAAGAUAUUGCUUCUGCCUACAAGCAUUUCCUCUCAUAUGUUCUUAGACAUUAUUGACUACACCAUACAUCUUUUGAGUUAAUCUUUUCUGAAAUAUUUUAUAGAAUUCCAUCCUCCCAAAUAUUUCAGAUUUUGCCAAUAUGACAGAUGAAUAGCUGCCUCUAUGUUUCUUGGAAACACCCGGUACAUUUUAGGAUUGCCUUUGAACUUACAGGCCAGCUUACAUUUGCACCUCAACAUCUGUACCUGAGACAUCAUUAUGCACAGGUUUUUGUCCUACAAGUAGCCAGCAGCCUACUUCCCUUCAGUUCGUGAGUGAUGGUUUUCUUCCUGUACCAUAUUCCUAUUUUUCCCCAGUUUGGUUUCUUGUCACUACCUCACCUACUCAAGCAUCCCACUUUUUGUGCUAGGUCAGAAGGGACACACCACUGGCUUCUUUCAACAAAAGUUUGAUUUUUUUGGCACACCCAGGCUUUUCUUAGCUUCCCAGAGUAUACAACCAUAGAAAUUUCUGUGCUCACACAAGAGCUGUGAUAUCCUCCAAGUAGGAUGUAUGAGAUAGUGGAAAGAACCCUUCAGUACCUUUCAAAAAUGUGAAUUUGAAUUCUGAAAUCCAUUAAUAUUUUAAAAUAAAUAUUGCACAAUAUCUGUUACGUUAAAAAAAUAUUUUUAAAUCUCAGUAGUAUAGUAAAAGCCUGGUCUAAACUCUAUUGAAGUAAGUGGGAAGAAGCUGAGCAACUUGAACAGCAAGAGUAAGAUGCCAUGAAUACGUUGCCCAGAAAGCACACUCUGCCCGAGGGCUUUCCCCAGAGGAGUGGAUGAGGUGAGAGCUGGGAUACGUGAAGCUCAUCCAGUGAUUCAUGCCUGAGCAGAACAGCUCAUCUAAGGGGAUGGAGGGUCCCUCAGUGACAUUCAAGCUGCAUUUUUGAUACAAUUUUGAGGGGUGUUUUUUUUCUUUCCAAAAGUCUUCCUAUUCUCUGAUCCAAACAAUAAAUAACCCAGACAAAAUGAUAUAACAAGUAGAUGUCCCAUAUAAAGGAAUGAUAUGCUACGUAAGUAUUGUGCAUACUCCUCUUGAACGGUCUAUUUUAAGUGAUUUCUUAGGAAAUUUUAUGCGUUUGUAUAUGCAAAGAUUUGGCUGGACUCACCAAUCUUUUUUUUUUAAUAAACCAGCAUAAAGUAGAAUUUAUUUACAUAAUGCAAUGAUCCAUGAAGGUUACCAUAACAUCAAGGGACCAUAUUAACCGCUUGAAUGGAAUUCAUUAGAAAUUAACUACCACUUAAAUUAAUUUUCCCACAUUCACAAGGCUGUAAUGGUGGAAAAAGGAACCGUCCAUCAGCAUGUACUGACAGGAGAGCUGUCACUGCCUUUAUUUAUAGGUGAAUACAUUAACCCAUGAAGCAGCCUUUUCAGACCAAAUCUUGAGCUUCUGUACAAAUAAGCUCCUUCGGAAGACUUUACUUUUAAUAAGAAAUCCAGCCUCAGUUCAACAGGAACACAUUCUGCCUAAUGCUUUUGCUGCUGGCUAUGUAUUGUAGCCUUUUCAUAAGAACAGUAGAAAAAUCUGCUCCCGAAAUGCCCUAACCUCACACUGUAUGUGGUUUAUUUUUAGGAGUUCAUAUUAUUGAUGAGAUUCCAGUUAUACUGUGUUAUUAGUGUUGGGGAAACCAUAUAAACAAAAGAAUAUGGUCCUCUGAAUUUUUUAGCUGUCUUACACAUGCAAAAGUGUCCAUGCGAUGGGAUGAAAGAAUGUGAGACUGCGCCCAUGUAUGACCUAGUACUAUGGACAAAUUUACUGUAGUACAUUGCGGUAGUUAAUCUGAACCUAAGCUACAAUAAGAAUGAACUUCGUGGCACCUGUUAGGUGACCAUAGUUGCUACAAAUGAAUAUGACAUUGGAGUGUGGUGUUGUCAUCUAAACCUCAUACCUGAAACAUGCUUAGGUUGGUUUCCUGAGCAGCUUUUUCCUGAAUAAUUAUAGCUCCGAAAUAAGAGCUGGCCCUUAACAAUUAAUAAUAUAUAUGUUGGUUUUUUUUUUAACAGAGAAACUUCAGUAAGGAAAUGAUAGGACUGUCAGUUUUUAAGAAACACCCUCUAUCUUUUAGUAUUAAAAUAACUGGGGAAGGUCUGUUUUACAAUAUUUUUAGUUAGAUGCAUUCGUAUCAAAUAACAGUGGUGGCACGACACAGAUGUGGCUGUGUGCCAGCAGUGUUGCUCACUGAAGUGUUUCACUCUUGAUGCUGACAAGAAAGAGAAAAUACAAAAGUUACAGAGAAUCUAAUGGUGGUGUCUGCACUUUCUUUCAGUUCUCCUUUACAGUUUCCAUGCCAGUGCGAAGGAAGAUUCCCCAACCCUGUAUCUGGUAUGAGGACUUUGGAGGGCUUUCUCAGGUUACCGCUGGCUUUUCUGGAAUACUUACUUUAGAAUUAACUUCUGUCACAGAAAACAUAAUCUGAAGCAUCUACUAUAUAUUACUUCUGAGCAUUCCUGCUAUAAAGAGGGAAAAUAGUACAUUGUGUAUGACAAGUGUGAUUACAAGGUUAUAGAACCUCCUUAUGUUUCCCUUGUUGUUAUGGUUUCUCCUUAAGAAAAGCUUGUCAUUGGAAACAUAAAUGAAUUCUUCCUUUCAAAGAUGCAAGUAUAUCACACUAUCAAGCAGUACAUUGUAAUGAAUGUAAUUUUUAAUUGAUUUAUAAUACUUUAAAUUCCUGCAUCCUGAAAACCCUCAAUAUUCUACAUGCAAUCCAGUCAUGUAUCACUUUUGAAAUAUUUCAGAGGAGGAAAGAGAUUUUUAUGAUACAUCCCUAAGUGCUCUGAUGAUUAUACAUGCUGUAACCUAUUUCUUCAUAAAUGCAUUCCAUCUUUAAUUUUGUCCUCCUUAAGAUACAAUCAUCAUGGCAUACUUUUAUUCAUAAAGAUUGUUCUUUUACAUA